rnacentral:lncRNA from 1 species
AACCCAAAUGCACGGAUAUAUACUCAUUUUAUAUUUGAAGAAAACAAGAAUCAUAACGAAAGUUCAUAAUAUUACAAUUGCCUGUUUCAGUUAAUUUUCAAUUAUGAAUGUAUCCUAUCCUCAGUCCUGAAUAGCUCCUGCUUCUUUAUCGCAAAAUUUUACUUAAUUCAACGUGUUUUAGAAUUUGAUAGUCGUGGUGAACUUGGUGACUCCAAAUGUAUUGAUGAAUUAAAUCACAUUGUAAGUUCAUACUGGAAUAUUCAAGUUUCAUGUGAAAUGGUGUUUUAAAUCUUAAAUUUAUUCUCUUAUAACAGAAUGUUAACAUGAUACGUGACUAUACUGCAGUAGAUGAAAUAAGAAAUGAGGAUAUAUGUUGAUAGUCGAUUGCAAGUUUAUUGAGUGUUGAAGUACUGAGAAUUCACUUCUUUGGGCAUCAUUCAUGAGGGAUGAUUGCUGGCUGUGUGGAGGCUAAUGUAAUGAACACUUUCCUCGUCCGUGAUUCGACUUAAAUAGGAUUACUUCGAUAAAUUUGUAUAUUUAUUAGGCCCCCAUAAUAUUUCCUUCUACGUAAAGGGUAUUAGGAUGAGCCUCCGAUGUAUAACAUUGGGGUAUUAGGAUGAGCCACGGUCCAAAAUAUACUGUAAUUCUUUUAUUCGAAAUAGAGCAAUUCGGCAGUGGCACCUCGAGCUUUUGCAUUGAGAGUGAAUCACCUUAAGUCAUUUGCUUUCCUGCUUUCAUUCUCCAUGUUAGCUUUAUUAAUUGCUCGAGGUAGCACAGAUUAUUCG